rnacentral:rRNA from 1 species
AUUUUGGAACAUUGGGGCAACCCUGAUCCAGCCAUGCCGCGUGUGUGAAGAAGGUUUUCGGAUUGUAAAGCCAUUUUAGUUGGGGGGAAGGGCUUUAGGUUAAGUCCCUUAAGUUUUGACGUUAACAACAGAAAAAGCACCUGCUAACUCUGUGCCAGCAGCCGCGGUAAUACAGAGGGUGCCAGAUUUAAUCGGAACUACUGGGCGUAAAGCGCGCGUAGUUGGUUCAGUAAGAUGGUUGUGAAAUCCCCGGGCUUAACCUGGGAACUGCUUUCAUAACUGCUGCGCUAAAGUACGGUGGAGGGUAGUGAAAUUUCCUGUUUGACGGUGAAAUGCGUAAAUAAAGGAAGGAACACCAGUGGCGAAGGCGACUACCUGGACUAAUACUGACACUGAGGUGCGAAAGCGUGGGGAGCAAAC